rnacentral:rRNA from 1 species
GACGGGUGAGUAACACGUGGGAACGUACCCUUUGGUUCGGAACAAGCCUGGGAAACUAGGGCUAAUAACGGAUACGCGCGAGAGCGGAAAGGUUUACUGCCGAAGGAUCGGCCCAUGUCUGAUUAGCUAAUUGGUGAGGUAACGGCUCACCAAGGCGACUGAUCAGUAGCUGGUCUGAGAGGAUGAUCAGUCACAUAGGGACUGAGACACGGCCCAAACUCCUACGGGAGGCAGCAGUGGGGAAUAUUGGACAAUGGGCGCAAGCGUGAUCCAGCCAUGCCGCGUGAGUGAUGAAGGCCCUAGGGUUGUAAAGCUCUAUUACCUGGGAAGAUAAUGACGGUACCAGAAGAAUAAGACCCGGCUAACUUCGUGCCAGCAGCAGCGGUAAU